rnacentral:rRNA from 1 species
GAUCCUGCCGGAGGUUACUGCUAUCGAGGUUCGACUAAGCCAUGCGAGUCGAAUGUAGCAAUACAUGGCGAACUGCUCAGUAACACGUGGACAACCUGCCCUUAGGACGGGGAUAAACCCGGGAAACUGGGUAUAAUACCCGAUAGGUCUCGAUUGCUGGAAUGCAUCGAGACUUAAAGCUCCGGCGCCUAAGGAUGGGUCUGCGGCCUAUCAGGUAGUAGUGGGUGUAGCGUACCUACUAGCCUACGACGGGUACGGGUUGUGAGAGCAAGAGCCCGGAGAUGGAUUCUGAGACACGAAUCCAGGCCCUACGGGGUGCAGCAGGCGCGAAAACUUUACAAUGCUGGCAACAGCGAUAAGGGAACCUCGAGUGCCAGGUUACAAAUCUGGCCGUCGAGAUGCCUAAAAAGCAUUUCAUAGCAAGGGCCGGGCAAGACCGGUGCCAGCCGCCGCGGUAACACCGGCGGCUCGAGUGGUAACCGUUAUUAUUGGGUCUAAAGGGUCUGUAGCCGGCCGGAUAAGUCUCUUGAGAAAUCUGGCAGCUUAACUGUCAGGCUUUCAGGAGAUACUGUCUGGCUCGAGGCCGGGAGAGGUGAGAGG